rnacentral:rRNA from 1 species
UACGUAGGGGGCAAGCGUUGUCCGGAAUCAUUGGGCGUAAAGCGCACGUAGGCGGAUCUUUAAGUCAGGGGUGAAAUCCCGGAGCUCAACUCCGGAACUGCCUUUGAUACUGAGGGUCUUGAGUCCGGGAGAGGUGAGUGGAACUGCGAGUGUAGAGGUGAAAUUCGUAGAUAUUCGCAAGAACACCAGUGGCGAAGGCGGCUCACUGGCCCGGAACUGACGCUGAGGUGCGAAAGCGUGGGGAGCGAACAGG